rnacentral:rRNA from 1 species
AACAUCUAAGUACCCCGAGGAAAAGAAAUCAACCGAGAUUCCGAAAGUAGCGGCGAGCGAAAUUGGACUAGCCCUUAAGCUUUACACGCGUUAGACGAACGGUCUGGAAAGUCCGACGAUACAGGGUGAUAGUCCCGUAGUUGACGACGUGUGUUCAGUGAAAUCGAGUAGGGCGGGACACGUGAUAUCCUGUCUGAAUAUGGGGGGACCAUCCUCCAAGGCUAAAUACUACUGACUGACCGAUAGUGAACCAGUACCGUGAGGGAAAGGCGAAAAGAACCCCUGUGAGGGGAGUGAAAUAGAACCUGAAACCGUGUACGUACAAGCAGUAGGAGCAGGCUUUGUCCUGUGACUGCGUACCUUUUGUAUAAUGGGUCAGCGACUUAUAUUCAGUGGCAAGGUUAACCAUCUAGGGGAGCCGUAGGGAAACCGAGUCUUAACUGGGCGUUCAGUCUCUGGAUAUAGACCCGAAACCAGGUGAUCUAGCCAUGGGCAGGUUGAAGGUUGAGUAACAUCAACUGGAGGACCGAACCGACUAAUGUUGAAAAAUUAGCGGAUGACUUGUGGCUAGGGGUGAAAGGCCAAUCAAACCUGGAGAUAGCUGGUUCUCCCCGAAAGCUAUUUAGGUAGCGCCUCGGACGAAUACUACUGGGGGUAGAGCACUGUUAAGGCUAGGGGGUCAUCCCGACUUACCAACCCUUUGCAAACUCCGAAUACCAGUAAGUACUAUCCGGGAGACACACGGCGGGUGCUAACGUCCGUCGUGGAGAGGGAAACAACCCAGACCGCCAGCUAAGGUCCCAAAUUACUACUAAGUGGGAAACGAUGUGGGAAGGCUCAGACAGCCAGGAUGUUGGCUUAGAAGCAGCCAUCAUUUAAAGAAAGCGUAAUAGCUCACUGGUCGAGUCGGCCUGCGCGGAAGAUGUAACGGGGCUAAGUAGUAAACCGAAGCUGCGGCAAUGUGCUUUUGCACAUUGGGUAGGGGAGCGUUCUGUAAGCGGUUGAAGGUGUGUGGUAACGCAUGCUGGACGUAUCAGAAGUGCGAAUGCUGACAUGAGUAACGAUAAAGGGGGUGAAAAACCUCCUCGCCGGAAGACCAAGGGUUCCUGUCCAACGUUAAUCGGGGCAGGGUAAGUCGACCCCUAAGGCGAGGCCGAAAGGCGUAGUCGAUGGGAAACGGGUUAAUAUUCCCGUACUUCUUACAAUUGCGAUGGGGGGACGGAGAAGGCUAGGUGGGCCUGGCGACGGUUGUCCAGGUUCAAGUGCGUAGGCUUGAGAGUUAGGUAAAUCCGGCUCUCUUUAAGGCUGAGACACGACG